CCAAGGCCUAUUUCCGUUUGAAAUCGAGGUUGGAUACUCAACAUCCGCUUCCGUCCUUUCUAAUAAACCUCAAGCCCUAGGUCUAUUGAGGAAAAAUGAGAGCUAAGUGGCGAAAGAAGCGUAUGAGGAGGCUGAAGAGGAAAAGGAGAAAGAUGAGGGCGAGAUCAAAGUAAGCUGUACCUCAGGUCACUAGUUCGGCAAGUGUGAAUUGAGACUGCAUUGGCCGGGUCUUCUGUGAGCUUCCUGCCACCUCAUCCUCCUGUCAGCUGGACCGGAGAGACUACUUCUUCCAUUACAGACACCACAAGGACAGCGACUCGUACCUGCAGGCUAGCCCCCAUCAAUUCAUCAUCAUCUUCGGCAACAGCAGCUCCAACAGCAACAAUUACAGGGUGGUGUGGGCUGCAGGUUGCUGUAUCUGAAAAGCUUCCGCAUUGGGUGCUCCGUCCUGUGUGACCCUUGUGGCGAAUGUUGACCAAGGUUGAGGCAAAACAGCGACAUUCUGACUGGUUAUGAUGGUUUCUGUUGUCUGUCGCUGGUCUUGUCACUUUGGAUGGUUGAAGACUUUGUUGUCUAUACUUUAGGGUAACGGUCAUAAGGGCUUGAGUUAAGAGCACUUGCUUUUUUUAAUCUCAAGUCUGAACUUUUGCCUCAAUGUGCUGAUAACCACAUGGUGUAUUCAGGACACAGGUUCUUCUUGGAAUUAUUCUUUUGAACAUUGAAGAUGCGGAGUUUGCAGUUUUACUUUAUGCUUGUUAAUAAAUACAUAAAAAUGUUA